rnacentral:rRNA from 1 species
CAGUCGAGCGGUUGACGGGAGCUUGCUCCCUGAUUCAGCGGCGGACGGGUGAGUAAUGCCUAGGAAUCUGCCUAUUAGUGGGGGACAACGUUUCGAAAGGAACGCUAAUACCGCAUACGUCCUACGGGAGAAAGCAGGGGACCUUCGGGCCUUGCGCUAAUAGAUGAGCCUAGGUCGGAUUAGCUAGUUGGUGAGGUAAUGGCUCACCAAGGCGACGAUCCGUAACUGGUCUGAGAGGAUGAUCAGUCACACUGGAACUGAGACACGGUCCAGACUCCUACGGGAGGCAGCAGUGGGGAAUAUUGGACAAUGGGCGAAAGCCUGAUCCAGCCAUGCCGCGUGUGUGAAGAAGGUCUUCGGAUUGUAAAGCACUUUAAGUUGGGAGGAAGGGUUGUAGAUUAAUACUCUGCAAUUUUGACGUUACCGACAGAAUAAGCACCGGCUAACUCUGUGCCAGCAGCCGCGGUAAUACAGAGGGUGCAAGCGUUAAUCGGAAUUACUGGGCGUAAAGCGCGCGUAGGUGGUUUGUUAAGUUGGAUGUGAAAGCCCCGGGCUCAACCUGGGAACUGCAUCCAAAACUGGCAAGCUAGAGUACGGUAGAGGGUGGUGGAAUUUCCUGUGUAGCGGUGAAAUGCGUAGAUAUAGGAAGGAACACCAGUGGCGAAGGCGACCACCUGGACUGAUACUGACACUGAGGUGCGAAAGCGUG